CAGCCGCGGUAAUACGAAGGGUGCAAGCGUUACUCGGAAUUACUGGGCGUAAAGCGCACGCAGGCGGUCUGUCAAGUCAGAUGUGAAAUCCCCGGGCUUAACCUGGGAACUGCAUUUGAAACUGGCAGGCUAGAGUCUUGUAGAGGGGGGUAGAAUUCCAGGUGUAGCGGUGAAAUGCGUAGAGAUCUGGAGGAAUACCGGUGGCGAAGGCGGCCCCCUGGACAAAGACUGACGCUCAGGUGCGAAAGCGUGGGGAGCAAACAGGAUUAGAUACCCCUGUAGUCCCUGUCUCUUAUACCCA
rnacentral:rRNA from 1 species